CCCGCAAAUUUUUUUUCUCUCUUCUCAUUUUUCUUAAUUUAAAUCACCCGCGCAGAUGGAAGACUUCUCCAUGCGCGAAAGCCACAAUAAAAUGUAAGCUACGUGACUGCUGGUUGACUAGCGGGGACUUCUGCAAUCUCAGCACCGCGAGCUUUUAAAAAGGCGAUCAACAGCCAAAUCCACGUCUUUGUUAGUUAAUUCGACUUCCGCGUUUAACUUGACAGGCCCGUGCCUUGUAAAAGUCCCUUAUCUUAAUUUGCGCUGCACUUAAGACGAGUUCAGACACGGUUCAACCGGCAGGCCACGUAUUAGUUAUUAA